GAGCGCUAAAACAUGUUAAAAAAGAUAAAUGAUGCAUUAGAACUGGCUGAAAAAGAGGCUAAAAACAAAACCAGGGCUUCUAAGGAACUGCUGCCGUCCAGUGGAAAGCGCGUCUUGCAAAAGGCAGAACGAAGCGACAGCGACUAGUUGCAAUCUGCCUUCUUUUAACCGCCAUGUUAUGUUCAGUGUUGCUUCCUGGCCAACAUCCCUCAGCAGGAGGCUGCACGAUCAUCGAGUUCAGAUGAACUGCGCGACCCCAGCCCCCUGUACCUCCCCGUCCCUCGUCCUGCCGGGGUCCGGCGCGACCCCAGCCCACGGAACCUCCCCGUCCCUCAUCCUGCCGGGGUCCGGCGCGACCCCAGCCCACGGAACCUCCCCAUCCCUCAUCCUGCCGGGGUCCGGCGUGACCCCAGCCCCCUGUACCUCCCCGUCCCGCAUCCUCCCGGGGUCAGGCGCUACCCCAGCCCCCUGUACCUCCCCGUCAGGCGUCUUGCCGGGGUCCGGCGCGACCCCAUUUUUUUUGUUUUUUAUUUUUCCUUCUCCUUUCCUCCCCUUUACCUCCACCCGUGCCACAGGCCCACUGAUGAUGAACAUGAUGAUGAUGACGAACAUGAUGAUGAUGAUGAUGAUGAUGAUGAUGAUGCAAGCAGACAGCUGCGUGCAAGGGCUGACCAUUUUAAACGAAAAAUAAAACAGACCAAACAGGCAAAAACA